CAGCUCCACUCUUUAGUUUUUCAGGAUAAUCUUUGUUUCUUUUCCAUCCUUCCUAUCCCACACCCAACCCAUCAACAAACGCUUUUCUUUCUAUAGUUCAGAUAUGUUUGUCUAAGGAUCUUCCACCUCUGGUCACCACUCCUAAUCACAUCAGCUUUCAGGACAAUGGGAACAUCGUCCUGAAAUCCACACCCUGAAAUCCAUCUGUAACGCUGCUGGGAUUAAAAGGCAAGAAAGGGUGUUCACAGUUCUCUACAUCACCACUGAAGCCUUUGAGCAGAUUCGUCUUAACACAACACCCGACGUUCUGACGACUCCCCAGAAAGCCUUAGUACAACUCCAUCCCGACCCACUCACGACCUCUCUGAUCUGGAGUCUCACCCACCCACCCUCCAAUCAUCUGCACCGCUUGCUAGGACAAGCACCUGUUCUAGAAUCUGCGCUCCCGCAGCGCCCUCUGCUGGACUCCCUCUACCCUGCAGGAUCUGGAACGCUCCAUUCCUCUCUUCUAGAUGUCAUGGCAACCUCCUUAUACCGCUCUCUGUUACCUUAGCCUGCUUU
rnacentral:lncRNA from 1 species